GACGAACGCUGGCGGCGUGCUUAACACAUGCAAGUCGAACGAAGAGCGAUGGAAGCUUGCUUCUAUCAAUCUUAGUGGCGAACGGGUGAGUAACGCGUAGUCAACCUGCCCUUCAGAGGGGGACAACAGUUGGAAACGACUGCUAAUACCGCAUACGAUCUAAUCUCGGCAUCGAGGAUAGAUGAAAGGUGGCCUCUACAUGUAAGCUAUCACUGAAGGAGGGGAUUGCGUCUGAUUAGCUAGUUGGAGGGGUAACGGCCCACCAAGGCGAUGAUCAGUAGCCGGUCUGAGAGGAUGAACGGCCACAUUGGGACUGAGACACGGCCCAGACUCCUACGGGAGGCAGCAGUGGGGAAUCUUCCGCAAUGGACGAAAGUCUGACGGAGCAACGCCGCGUGAGUGAUGACGGCCUUCGGGUUGUAAAGCUCUGUUAAUCGGGACGAAAGGCCUUCUUGCGAAUAGUGAGAAGGAUUGACGGUACCGGAAUAGAAAGCCACGGCUAACUACGUG
rnacentral:rRNA from 1 species